UCGGUUGGCUAAUGCUGAGGGGGUGCCUGGCCACGCGGGACUUGCUCUCUCGCCGGAUCCAGGGAUGGUCCUCCCCGACCCAUUGCAGCCUCUGUGGGGGAGCAGAGGAGACAGCCGACCACCUCUUUCUCUCUUGCCCGGCCACCGGCGGCCUUCGAUCCUUUUUCCGGUCAGCUCUCGGAGUUCGGGGGGUCUCCACCUCCAUCGCUCAGGCCUG
rnacentral:misc_RNA from 1 species